rnacentral:rRNA from 1 species
AGAGUUUGAUCCUGGCUCAGGAUGAACGCUAGCGACAGGCUUAACACAUGCAAGUCGAGGGGCAGCACAGGUAGCAAUACCGGGUGGCGACCGGCGCACGGGUGAGUAACGCGUAUGCAACUUACCUAUCAGAGGGGGAUAACCCGGCGAAAGUCGGACUAAUACCGCAUGAAGCAGGGGCCCCGCAUGGGGAUAUUUGCUAAAGAUUCAUCGCUGAUAGAUAGGCAUGCGUUCCAUUAGGCAGUUGGCGGGGUAACGGCCCACCAAACCGACGAUGGAUAGGGGUUCUGAGAGGAAGGUCCCCCACAUUGGUACUGAGACACGGACCAAACUCCUACGGGAGGCAGCAGUGAGGAAUAUUGGUCAAUGGCCGAGAGGCUGAACCAGCCAAGUCGCGUGAAGGAAGAAGGAUCUAUGGUUUGUAAACUUCUUUUAUAGGGGAAUAAAGUGGAGGACGUGUCCUUUUUUGUAUGUACCCUAUGAAUAAGCAUCGGCUAACUCCGUGCCAGCAGCCGCGGUAAUACGGAGGAUGCGAGCGUUAUCCGGAUUUAUUGGGUUUAAAGGGUGCGUAGGUGGUGAUUUAAGUCAGCGGUGAAAGUUUGUGGCUCAACCAUAAAAUUGCCGUUGAAACUGGGUUACUUGAGUGUGUUUGAGGUAGGCGGAAUGCGUGGUGUAGCGGUGAAAUGCAUAGAUAUCACGCAGAACUCCGAUUGCGAAGGCAGCUUACUAAACCAUAACUGACACUGAAGCACGAAAGCGUGGGGAUCAAACAGGAUUAGAUACCCUGGUAGUCCACGCAGUAAACGAUGAUUACUAACUGUUUGCGAUACAAUGUAAGCGGUACAGCGAAAGCGUUAAGUAUUCCACCUGGGGAGUACGCCGGCAACGGUGAAACUCAA